rnacentral:rRNA from 1 species
UACGGAGGGUGCAAGCGUUAUCCGGAUUCACUGGGUUUAAAGGGUGCGUAGGCGGGCAGAUAGGUCAGUGGUGAAAUCUCCGAGCUUAACUCGGAAACUGCCGUUGAUACUAUUUGUCUUGAAUACUGUCGAGGUAAGCGGAGUAUGUCAUGUAGCGGUGAAAUGCUGAGAGAUGACAUAGAACAACAAUUGCGAAGGCAGCUUACUAGACAGCGAUUGACGCUGAGGCACGAAAGCGUGGGGAUCAAACAGG